AAAGAAUCAUUUUUAUUUAGUUGUUCAUCGGGAAAACUCGAGAGUAUGAAUAUGCCCCUGUUUUAUGAUUCCACUUACAUACUUUCACCGUUUUUUGGGUCAAUGACAGUUCAAACUCCCUGUUAUGAUCCUACUUAACCCACUUAAAUACUUUCCUCGACUUUCAAUCUGCCAUAUCUUAUAUUAUACUAAUUCACUCUUCAUUCAUUCCAUAGUUUUGCUGAAUAUAUUGUAAUAGCCAUUCUCCAAGUGUUCAUGUUGAAUUCUACAAACGACAUAACAAUCAUUUGUGCACAUAAAGUGAUUAGUAUGUACUUACUGCACAUCACAUAAUAGCUCAACUCUUGUAGUAUUAGUUGCCUCAUCAUACUCCCUAGUGCUAAAACUUGAGAGUAUGAAUACUCCAUUAUGAUUCAACUCAAAUACUUAAUUCCCCGACUUAUGGUUAAAUUUAAUUGCAUUCAAGCACUUCAACUUAAAUACAAUAAUAUUUUUUUUCAAACAAUUUUAAAAUUUGCGUGUUUGAAAGUGUGAGUUGUCGAUGUUUCAAAUGGUAUUCCAAUAAGACAAUAAUUUGUCACCUAUUCUGGAAUAGAGGUCAUGUACUACAACUCUUACACCUAAGAUCAAAGUCAAUGAUGAAGUUUAUAUCUGUAUAUUCAUUGGAAUCAAAAUUUGAGAAAGCUUUCUAUAAUAUCGAGUUCUGAAAUCGCAUUUUACAGCAGGGCUGGUCCAUAUACUUCAAUCUUGAAGUGUGAGAGUUUUUUGAGAAGUACACUUGAAGUCUUAUCAUAAGAUCAAGAACUAUAUGACUAAAAACUAUGAGAAAUCCUUUUAGCCGAGAAGUGACUCAUUUUUAUUCGUUGUUCAUCUGGAAAAGUCAAGAGUACGAAUAUGCCCCUUAGUUAUGAUUCCACUUAAAUACUUUCCCCGAUGUUAGGUCAAGGACAGAGUUCAAACUCCCCGUAUGGUCCUACUAAUCCCACUUAAAUACUUUCCUCGACUUUGGAUCAAUGAUAAAUUCAAACUCGUGAUGUGCAUAGUUUUUAGUGUAAUUUUUCUAUUGAUUCUCCAACCAGUAAAAUGAUUUUUACUCAAACAUUAGUGAUAAUUUAAAUUCUAAAGGUUAGUAUACUUAUUGUAGAUCUACUGAUAGAUCAAUAGGUCAAUUUCUCUUAUUGCGGAUGCUUAACUUCACACAACAAGUGAAAAUAAUUUCAAAAUAUUAAUGCAAUAAGGUGAAGAAACUCCAAGCUAAAUCUACAACAGCCCAGAAAAUUGAUUUCGAUGGAAAAUCCAUGUAUGAAAUUAAAACAGUGAAAGUAUAAUUACCUAAUCAAAAUUGAAAGCACAAGCAUUAAAAUUAUUUGAACUUCCAAAGCACAAGAAAAAUCAAACAUCAAUAACAAAUCCAAAUGAAAAAGGAGGCAAAUGUUGACACAACCAAUUCAAAUUUGAUGAAAGAGAGAUAAAUUAAAGAGAUUUCUGAACUUUAAUUUUAGAAAAACUGAAUGAAAACACAAAAGAGACUUACCUGGAUAGAAUGUUGAAGAAAGGAGAAAGAACUGAUGUGAACAUAAGUGAGGUGUAAAUUGAAAACAUGGGAGAAAGACACGUUGUAAUAAUAGGGAAUUGAAGAGAUGAAAAUACCCUUUAGAGCAGUAAAGUAGGCAUG
rnacentral:lncRNA from 1 species